UGGGGAAUUUUGGACAAUGGGCGAAAGCCUGAUCCAGCAAUGCCGCGUGUGUGAAGAAGGCCUUCGGGUUGUAAAGCACUUUUGUCCGGAAAGAAAUCCUUGGCUCUAAUACAGUCGGGGGAUGACGGUACCGGAAGAAUAAGCACCGGCUAACUACGUGCCAGCAGCCGCGGUAAUACGUAGGGUGCAAGCGUUAAUCGGAAUUACUGGGCGUAAAGCGUGCGCAGGCGGUUUGCUAAGACCGAUGUGAAAUCCCCGGGCUCAACCUGGGAACUGCAUUGGUGACUGGCAGGCUAGAGUAUGGCAGAGGGGGGUAGAAUUCCACGUGUAGCAGUGAAAUGCGUAGAGAUGUGGAGGAAUACCGAUGGCGAAGGCAGCCCCCUGGGCCAAAUACUGACGCUCAUGCACGAAAAGCGUGGGGAGCAAAACAGGAUUAGAUACCCUGGUAGUCCACGCCCUAAAACGAUGUCAACUAGUUGUUGGGGAUUCAUUUCCUUAGUAACGUAGCUAACGCGUGAAGUUGACCGCCUGGGGAGUACGGUCGCAAGAUUAAAACUUCAAAGGAAUUGACGGGGUCAUAGCUGUUUCCU
rnacentral:rRNA from 1 species